rnacentral:rRNA from 1 species
AUACGGAGGGUGCAAGCGUUAAUCGGAAUUACUGGGCGUAAAGCGCGCGUAGGCGGUUUGUUAAGUCGGAUGUGAAAGCCCCGGGCUUAACCUGGGAGGGUCAUUCAAAACUGGCAGACUAGAGUGUGGUAGAGGGUAGUGGAAUUCCUAGUGUAGCGGUGAAAUGCGUAGAGAUUAGGAGGAACACCAGUGGCGAAGGCGACUGCCUGGACCAACACUGACGCUGAGGUGCGAAAGCGUGGGUAGCGAACAGGAUUAGAUACCCCAGUAGUCC